CCUACGGGAGGCAGCAGUGGGGAAUUUUGGACAAUGGGGGCAACCCUGAUCCAGCCAUGCCGCGUGUCUGAAGAAGGCCUUCGGGUUGUAAAGGACUUUUGUUAGGGAAGAAAAGGGAAGUGCUAAUACCACUUUUUGCUGACGGUACCUAAAGAAUAAGCACCGGCUAACUACGUGCCAGCAGCCGCGGUAAUACGUAGGGUGCGAGCGUUAAUCGGAAUUACUGGGCGUAAAGCGAGCGCAGACGGUUAUUUAAGUCAGAUGUGAAAUCCCCGAGCUUAACUUGGGAACUGCGUUUGAAACUGGGUAACUAGAGUAUGUCAGAGGGGGGUAGAAUUCCACGUGUAGCAGUGAAAUGCGUAGAGAUGUGGAGGAAUACCGAUGGCGAAGGCAGCCCCCUGGGAUAAUACUGACGUUCAUGCUCGAAAGCGUGGGUAGCAAACAGGAUUAGAUACCCUAGUAGUC
rnacentral:rRNA from 1 species